UACGUAGGGGGCAAGCGUUGUCCGGAAUCAUUGGGCGUAAAGCGCGUGUAGGCGGCCCGAUAAGUCCGCUGUGAAAGUCCAGGGCUCAACCCUGGAAUGCCGGUGGAUACUGUCGGGCUCGAGUCCGGAAGAGGCGAGUGGAAUUCCUGGUGUAGCGGUGAAAUGCGCAGAUAUCAGGAGGAACACCGAUGGCGAAGGCAGCUCGCUGGGACGGUACUGACGCUGAGACGCGAAAGCGUGGGAGCGAACAGG
rnacentral:rRNA from 1 species